CAUCUAUGGAUGAGAAAUGCGGAU
rnacentral:piRNA from 2 species